GAGGAAGCAGAUAAGAGCAUACGGGGGAUGCCUAGGCAUCGCGCGCUGAUGAAGGACGUGGUACACUGCGAAAAGCUCCGGUGAGGUGUGUGCAACCGCAAGAGCCGGAGAUAUCCGAAUGGGGAAACCCGCGUGGGGGCAUGCCCACGCAGCCGGUGGUGAACACAUAGCCAGCGGCGGGGAACCGGGGGAAGUGAAACAUCUAAGUACCCCGAGGAAAAGAAAGGAUUCCGCGAGUAGUGGCGAGCGAAAGCGGAGGAGCCCAAACCGACAGCAGUCGGGGUAGGAGGCCGUGCAGAGGCGACCGGCCGGGGUAGUCAAAAGGGACUGGAAAGCCCUGCCAGAGACGGUGAGAGCCCGGUAGACGAAACCUGGAAAGGCGCCGCACGUAGCCUGAGUACCACGGGGCACGCUAAUCCCGUGGGAAGCAGGGGAGUCCACUCUCCAAGGCUAAAUACGCGCGAGGACCGAUAGCGGAGCAGUACCGUGAGGGAAAGGUGAAAAGAACCCCGGAGAGGGGAGUGAAAGAGAACCUGAAACCGUAUGCUUACAAGCAGUCAGAGCACAUUGAGUGUGAUGGCGUGCCUUUUGGAGAAUGAGCCACCGAGUUAAUCCAUGUGGCAAGCUUAAGGCAGGGACAGCCGAAGGCGGAGCGAAAGCGAGUCUGAAGAGGGCGUGGAGUGGCAUGGAUUAGACACGAAACCGGGUGAGCUACCCAUGGUCAGGUUGAAGCGAAGCUAACCCUUCGUGGAGGACCGCACCGGUAACUGUUGCAAAAGUUUCGGAGGAACUGUGGGUAGGGGUGAAAUGCCAAACGAACCCGGAGAUAGCUUGUUCUCCCCGAAAUAGCUUUAGGGCUAGCGUCGGGAGAUGGCUGAGGGAGGUAGAGCACUGACUGAGCUAGGGGCCGCAAGGUUACCAAACUCAAUCAAACUCCGAAUGCCUUCAGCAAGGAUUCCGGCAGUCGGACGGCGGGAGAUGAGUUUCGUCGUCGAGAGGGAAAGAGCCCAGACCCCCCGCUAAGGUCCCCAAGGACCGGCUAAGUGGCAAACGAGGUGGGAGUGUGGAGACAGCCAGGAGGUUGGCUUAGAAGCAGCCAUCCUUGAAAGAGUGCGUAAUAGCUCACUGGUCAAACGCUCCUGCGCGGAUAAUGUAACGGGGCUAAAGUCGGACACCGAAGCGCGGGAUACGCGAGAGCGUGUAGUAGGGGAGCGUCGCCUGGUCAGGGAAGGUCAUCUGGAAGGGUGGCUGGAGAGCAGGCGAGUGAGAAUGGUGGCAUGAGUAACGAGAAACAUGUGAGAACCAUGUUCGCCGGAAGUCUAAGGGUUCCGACGGAAGGUCAGUCCACGUCGGGUGAGUCGGGCCUAAGCCGAGGCCGAGAGGCGUAGGCGAUGGACAACGGGUUAAUAUUCCCGUACCGGCUGGUGGAGCGCGCGAGGGACGAGUGCGGAAAGCCCAGCCUCCGAAUGGAAGAGGAGGUGGCAAGCGGUGAAAGCCGUGAAGCCGGGCCUACGGGCCAGAAGUGGGUGGAACCAAGCUCCGAGAAAAGCUCAGCGGCGAAGAAGCCAGCCGCCCGUACCGCAAACCGACACAGGUAGACGGGUAGAGGAUACCAAGGCGAACGGGAGAACCCUCGUUAAGGAACUAGGCAAAAAGGCUCCGUAACUUCGGGAGAAGGAGCGCCUGGAAAGGCCGCAGAGAAAUGGCCCUGGCGACUGUUUAACAAAAACACAGGUCUCUGCGAACGCGAAAGCGGCCGUAUAGGGGCUGACGCCUGCCCAGUGCCGGAAGGUUAAGAGGAGUGGUCAGCGGAAGCGAAGCUGCGAAUUGAAGCCCCGGUGAACGGCGGCGGUAACUAUAACCGUCCUAAGGUAGCGAAAUUCCUUGUCGGGUAAGUUCCGACCCGCACGAAAGGCGUAACGAUCAGGGCACUGUCUCAACGAGGGGCCCGGUGAAAUUGAAGGACGUGUGAAGAUGCGCGUUACCCGCAGCAGGACAAAAAGACCCCGUGGAGCUUGACUGUAGCUUGCUAUUGCGUUAGGGCAUGGUCUGUGUAGGAU
rnacentral:rRNA from 1 species